GAAGACAGGUGCUCAGCCAUUUUUCAACUGAGGAGUUAGCAAGCUGGCCUCGUGAUGGUGCAGCCACGUCUUCCCUGCUGUGGUUGACUGGAUCCCCUGAACUCUAAGCCGGAAUAGAGCCUUGCUCCUCCUAAAGUGGCUUCAGUCCUGCACGGGAUUAUGAGGAGAGGAGGAAUCCUGAUCCCUCUGCCCUCGAUAAAGAUGAUGUACCACUAACGUGACUUGCCGGGGCUUCCGGUUCCCCUCCGGUUCUCAGACAAUCAGCAGACUCACCAUACUUGAUGAGAAUACAGAGAGCCUUGAUGGACCAGCUGUGUGCUGCGUGUGAGUGUGAGCCCAGGCUGCCCUUGACCUUUGCCGGCCAUUGACCAAGUUCUUUAGAUUAUUGCCUAAACACUCAACAAGGAUCAGUUAUGUUGCUAAACUCUGACAAAAUCACCCAGCCCUGAGCCAAGUUCCUCAAGUUCUCCAGUAAACUCCAAACUCAACUCCCUCUUUUGCAAAUACUCCUAACAAACCUCUCUGGCUGCCUUCUUGCAAGGACACAGAAGUUCACUGGGCCUCCAUUCUCUGAAUAAACACGUUGGAAUAAUUGCCCUGGCUUUUAGUGCAACCUUCUCUGAAAUCCAACAUUGUGUGGUGUGUGUAUGUAGGUGGUCAAGUGAUUUGUUUCCCAUCAAAGAUCAGCAGAGUAGAUUAUCUAGUAAUUAUUCCUGAAACAGGACCACCCAUUAAUUUUUGAAAGAUAUAGUUGUUGUGUUUUUUUGUUUUUUUUUUUGUUUUUUUGUUGUUGUUAAUGUGUGUGUGUGCG